UACGUAGGGGGCAAGCGUUGUCCGGAUUUAUUGGGCGUAAAGAGCUCGUAGGCGGUUUGGUAAGUCAGGUGUGAAAUCUCCACGCUCAACGUGGAGGGGCCACCUGAUACUGCCAUGACUGGAGUCCGGUAGAGGAGUGUGGAAUUCCCGGUGUAGCGGUGAAAUGCGCAGAUAUCAGGAGGAACACCGAUGGCGAAGGCAGGUCUCUGGGCCACUACUGACGCUGAGACGCGAAAGCGUGGGGAGCGAACAGG
rnacentral:rRNA from 1 species